UACGGAAGGUGCGAGCGUUAAUCGGAAUUACUGGGCGUAAAGCGCACGUAGGUGGUUUUAUAAGUCGGAUGUGAAAUCCCCGGGCUCAACCUGGGAACUGCAUUGGUGACUGCAAGGCUUGAGUGUGUCAGAGGGAGGUGGAAUUCCGCGUGUAGCAGUGAAAUGCGUAGAUAUGCGGAGGAACACCGAUGGCGAAGGCAGCCUCCUGGGAUAACACUGACGCUCAUGCACGAAAGCGUGGGGAGCAAACAGG
rnacentral:rRNA from 1 species